rnacentral:lncRNA from 1 species
AACAACCAUUAUACUACUAAAUGUGUUUCCAAAUAACACAACAACUAGGUAAUAACCCGCGCCUUACGCGGAAUGUGAUUAUUAGUUUUGUUAUUUUUUAAUAAGGAGACAUUAAUCUGUUUAAUCUGAAUAUCAGUUUGGUUUUAGGUUGUUUUUUUGGUUUUUAAACUCCUAAAAUAUAACCAUCAUUUUAAAUCAAUAUUUAUUUGGUUUGUUCGGUUAAAAUGUUUGAUGUUUUUGUUUUUUUUUUCUGUGAUAAUCAAAAUUAUUACUAUUUGUUUAUUUUCAUGUUAUGAAUCUUAAAUAGUCGUGAUGUUGAACCAAUGGUUUCAUAUUAUAGUUUCUAAACGGGUAAUAGUUAAGAAAAAGAAAAGAACUCAUUAAGAUAAAUAAUUUUACUACAGUUUGGUCAAUAGUGAAAG